AGUGAUAAAAUAGAGAAAAUAUUUAAAUAUUUCCUAAUUUUUUCGCUGUCAAUAAACGUAAACGGGUUAGGGCAAUUGACUGUACUAUAACGGCUUCAAUACCCGUUUCCAACAGUACACUUCAUUCAGUAAAUUUCCCUCCAAUCGGACCUUCGCUAGUCGUUCAGUCUCCGGCGAAAAUGGAAGCCAAUGUUCCCCAGUUUAAGGUAAUGCUUUCUUUUACGGAAAAUUACUCUUAUUUUACUUAUGGUGAACUCAUUUAUAUACUUUCUCAGUUCAAUUAUUUAAAUCCUUUUGCAUAUUUGCUAAUUUUGUUUUCUGGAUAUAAUGUUCAAUUUAACUCUUUAUUUUCAGCUAAUUUUGGGUUCAUCCUCUACUGCACGUAGAAAAAUUUUGUCCGGCAUGGGAUACCAGUUCACAACCAUGGUAAAUUUCCAAUUAUUAGUUAUUCUUUGUUUUGUUCUAUGGAUAAAUAUGUUCCUAUAUCUGUGGAGAUGUAUUUACAAUUCAAAAAGAUUUGAACUUGGAUCAGUUCCUGUACCAAAUCAUUUUAAUUCACCGUGGUUAAGUAAAAUUGAGGAAAAUAUACUUAGAGGAAAUGAUCUCCUAUGCGCACAUACAAUUUGAAUAGAAGAAAAUGUCC
rnacentral:lncRNA from 1 species